rnacentral:rRNA from 1 species
CAGAAUUCCGCGAAUCAUCGAGUCUUUGAACGCAAGUUGCGCCCGAGGCUUGCCCUCGGGCAUUUCUGCCAGAGCGUCACC